rnacentral:snoRNA from 1 species
UGAUGCCUGAGGAACGUGUAUUACCUGAUGCAACUGAUGAACAAAUCUGCCUGAGG